rnacentral:lncRNA from 1 species
AGGUACAUAGACAGUUCACCUUGAGUGUGUUAUACUUUGACUAUACCAUAUCUCGAUCUCCUAGCCAUUCAAAACCUUGAGGUGUAUGUUGGCUAUAGCAUAUUCAUUGUAGGAACCAGAUUGCACCAAGAUGGGAUCUAUCAACCUCAGUAGAUGAGAGGAGUAGUCCUAUGAUGAUCGAAAGAUUGAGUCCUUAAGCCCAUGGCCAUGGUAGAGUGAAAUAAUGGAAAAGAGUUUUCCAUUGAGAUUUCACAUCAGACUCGGAUCGAUCGAUUGAUUCAUAUGACUGAUGUUGGGUUUGACGAGUUCACCUUAACCCUAAUUC